rnacentral:rRNA from 1 species
CUUGCGCGCCCCGGGUGACUACUGUAAUGAUUCCGUAGGUGAACCUGCGGAAGGAUCAUUACAGUAGUCACCCGGGGCGCCGCAAGGCCUCCCGGGUAACCUACCACCCUUUGUUUAUUACACUUUGUUGCUUUGGCAGGCCUGCCCUCGGGCUGCUGGCUCCGGCCGGCGAGCGCUUGCCAGAGGACCUAAACUCUGUUUGUCUAUACUGUCUGAGUACUAUAUAAUAGUUAAAACUUUCAACAACGGAUCUCUUGGUUCUGGCAUCGAUGAAGAACGCAGCGAAAUGCGAUAAGUAAUGUGAAUUGCAGAAUUCAGUGAAUCAUCGAAUCUUUGAACGCACAUUGCGCCCCCUGGUAUUCCGGGGGGCAUGCCUGUCCGAGCGUCAUUACAACCCUCAAGCUCAGCUUGGUGUUGGGCCCCGCCGCCCCGGCGGGCCCUAAAGUCAGUGGCGGUGCCGUCCGGCUCCGAGCGUAGUAAUUCUUCUCGCUCUGGAGGUCCGGUCGUGUGCUUGCCAUCAACCCCCAAUUUUUUUCAGGUUGACCUCGGAUCAGGUAGGGAUACCCGCUGAACUUAAGCAUAUCAAUAAGCGGAGGA